UACACACCGCCCGUCACACCAUGGGAGUGGGUUGCACCAGAAGUAGCUAGUCUAACCGCAAGGGGGACGGUUACCGCGGUGUGAUUCAUGACUGGGGUG
rnacentral:rRNA from 1 species